UACAAGGCCGACGAAUGUCAACAAGGCCUUGGAUUAAAUCAUUGUAAAUAAUCAAAAGUCAAAACAUGGGCUGAAUAAUUUUUGAAGAGAAUUUUCGCGUAAAAUGCUUUUCAUUACACAAUCAAGAAAAUUCAAGUCUUGUAGAGAAAUGUAGAGAAUUGGUUAUACACUUAUUUGUUGGACAAUGUUUGGUGCUGGGAUGUGAAUCUUUUCAUUUUUUCAACUAUUGUGUGAAGAAGAAGAAAAAUGUUGAUUAAGAAUCAAGGAUUGAAAAGGAAGACGAGACAUUUAGAUACUGACAUGGCUGUCCAUCAGACCAAAUUGGUUGUCGCCAGUUGUGACAGUUAAUGUAAAUGGAAACAGUCAUUCAGGGAGAACAAGAUAGAAUUGGAAAACGAAGAAUCAGCCUGGAUCACUAUUGCCCAGACCGAGGAAUGGAACUAGUUCCAUCCCUGGAUGUGGAAGGAGAUUGUAAAGAACCACACAUGCCACAAGAACUGAUUGUCACCUCCCAAGUGUACUUUCCUCCCAUCAAGCUUUUUCAUUCUGGUCCUGGCUUGCUAACUCUUCUUUCCGAAGCUAACUAUGAAUUACUGAAUGUGUAGUUCACACGAUAUAACAUGGCUUUUGUGUGCAAAUAGCUUGAGGAGAAGCAUGUUCAACCAAACCUCAACUUUGGUCACAUCUUGGUUGCGUAUGGGUUCCAGGCAGAUUACAAUUUCCACAACAAAUUCAAGCCGGCUUGGGAAAGCCGGCUGCCUUGUGUUUCUGCGCCGGAACUGCUUCAUGGGAAGGUUAACCCAGAUGCUGCUUCAGCCAAUAUUCUUCAUGAAGUGCAUGCUGCCGUAGAAAGAGGAGUAUUGGGAUCGCUUGUAGCAACCUGGACUGUUGGUGGACACAGGAUCGUUACAUUUCGCUUGGCCAGGAUGGAUUUGCUUGUUUGGCUUGGAAUCAUUCCAUUCAUUAAAAUAUCUGAUGAUAUUCUAGUGAACACAAAAGACUUCUGAUGGAUUACACACAAAUUAGUCAUGAACUCUAACAGGCCUGGGAUUUAGAUCAAUGAGUCAAAGCACAAAAAACUGUAAUAUUCCGAAUAUUCAGUGCUCUAUGAUUCUGCUUCAAACUCACCUAUUUGCCUUUUACCUCAUUCUUGAUAUUAUCUUCAUAAUUUUGGUGAAAUGGUUGUUUAAGUGAUUGCUGACAAAGAUAUCAGGCUUGUUGGUUUUGGAAAUUGGAUGCAUCUACAACUGAUUUUUCCCGGUAUUGGCAGUGAGAAAAUGUCUGGGAAACCACUGAGGGCAAGAUCAACACCUGUGAAGAAAUUGAUUGGACCAAGGUGUUGGCCCAUCAUCUAUGGCAUUUCAUUUCCCCGGUUGGGAGUAUCACUGACGCCUUGAUCGAGUAGGCCUACGAGGCCUCUUGCGGCAUAUUGUCAGACCCGAACGACGCUGAAAUCCUGAAAUCUAUGCCAGUGAGCCAUCUUCUUCCUAUUCUGCUAUUCAUCAACAUGUGCUUCGUUCAGAGACUUGUGUUUCCAACUGAUUUCACUCUGCUGUCUCCGUACGAUUCCGCUGAAAAAGUUGGUCAAUCCUCUGAGCCACAGCACAUGGAACGUUUGCGAAAAGGUUCUGUCUUGGUUGCUUGGCAGCAACGCCAAGCCUUGCGCUACUCACAUCUUUCGGAAAUUAUUGCUACCCGGUUGUCGAUUCGUUCGCUUCCCAGUUGAAAAUUGUAGCCUCUGACAUUGGGCCACUUUUGCCGCGAUGCAUCUGAUAUCGUCACCAUCUUUUGCGUUUGUCGCGUAGCGUUUGUGGAAGACAUCCUCGGCCGUUAUAUCGGACAAGAAAAAGACGAGCAGUGCGAGCGUUUCCUCGUCGAAAACUUUGCGUUCCGUCUCAGUGGAUUGAGGAAUGUCGGGCAGUUAAGUCGCUCUAUGCGUUUAAUCCGAAACUUCAUGCCACUUCCCUGCUUGCCGCUGAACUUUACAGCCAAGCACACGACGUUAUCUGUGAUGAACUUGCUCCGGAAGCUAUCCUGUUUGAAACCUAUCUGGAGUUGGAGGAACUCUUGACCCUCUUGGCUGACCCGGAACGAUUCAGUACGAUUGCCGAUUGGUACCUAAUAAGAGCAAAGUUUAUUGGAAUUACAUCACAGUCGUCAAAGCCGUAGAUCGAAUUUUAAAGCAGGAUAAUUCCAGUAUAAGAGAAUGCAACUAGAAUCUCUGCAAGUUGGUGUCCUUUCUACCCGUACCCUCCGCCAAGCACAGGCUUGUUCGCACGGAAAAAGCAAAGUUGUCGGUCAACGCAUCUGAGGAAACUUGGGUUCCCUCUCGUUUUUUCCUGCCGCAAUAACUCCGUCAGCUUCCUGUGGCUGUGACGCAGGAUUACUCGCUCUCAGAGCUUAACAACCUUGUCCGUGCGUACUUUCUCGAACUGAAUGUUCAAAAGGUGCCAAGUAAAAAAGAUGCUGUAUUUUUUUAUUAUCAUUGUUUAAAAAUUGUUCUCGUGAUCGACUGUGAAUUUGCGUCUUUUGUAAACGAAACAUUGCUAUCCCAAAUCUAGAGCAAAUGUCAUAAGUAACACUUCAACACUCGCCUCAUCGUGUCAUAGUGGCUGUAUAAAAAAGGACUGGAUAACUCGUGAAUAAAACUGUGUUAAAUUUA
rnacentral:lncRNA from 1 species